GGGGGUGUAGCUCAGCGGUUAGAGCAGAGGACUCAUAAUCCUUUGGUCCAGGGUUCGAACCCCUGCGCCCCUA
rnacentral:tRNA from 1 species